AGUGAACGCUGGCGGUAGGCCUAACACAUGCAAGUCGAACGGCAGCACAGUAAGAGCUUGCUCUUACGGGUGGCGAGUGGCGGACGGGUGAGGAAUACAUCGGAAUCUACUUUUUCGUGGGGGAUAACGUAGGGAAACUUACGCUAAUACCGCAUACGACCUACGGGUGAAAGCAUGGGAUCUUCGGACCUUGCGCGAUUGAAUGAGCCGAUGUCGGAUUAGCUAGUUGGCGGGGUAAAGGCCCACCAAGGCGACGAUCCGUAGCUGGUCUGAGAGGAUGAUCAGCCACACUGGAACUGAGACACGGUCCAGACUCCUACGGGAGGCAGCAGUGGGGAAUAUUGGGCAAUGGGCGCAAGCCUGAUCCAGCCAUACCGCGUGGGUGAAGAAGGCCUUCGGGUUGUAAAGCCCUUUUGUUGGGAAAGAAAAGCAGCAGGUUAAUACCCCGCUGUUCUGACGGUACCCAAAGAAUAAGCACCGGCUAACUUCGUGC
rnacentral:rRNA from 1 species